UAGGCUGAAACUCGCCUACAUGAAGCUGGAGUUGCUAGUAAUCGCGAAUCAGCAUGUCGCGGUGAAUACGUUCCCGGGCCUUGUACACACCGCCCGUCACACCAUGAGAGUUGGCAAUACCCAACGUACGUGAUCUAACCCGCAAGGGAGGAAGCGUCCUAAGGUAGGGUCAGCGAUUGGGGUGAAGUCGUAACAAGGUACC
rnacentral:rRNA from 1 species